UACGGGGGGGGCAAGCGUUGUCCGGAAUUAUUGGGCGUAAAGAGCUCGUAGGCGGCUUGUCACGUCGGAUGUGAAAGCCCGGGGCUUAACCCCGGGUCUGCAUUCGAUACGGGCAGGCUAGAGUUCGGUAGGGGAGAUCGGAAUUCCUGGUGUAGCGGUGAAAUGACGCAGAUAUCAGGAGGAACACCGGUGGCGAAGGCGGAUCUCUGGGCCGAUACUGACGCUGAGGAGCGAAAGCGUGGGGAGCGAACAGG
rnacentral:rRNA from 1 species